rnacentral:rRNA from 1 species
UACGUACUGUGCGAACGUUAUUCGGAAUCACUGGGCUUAAAGGGUGCGUAGGCGGCCAAUUAAGUAGGGUGUGAAAGGCUUCGGCUCAACCGGAGCAUUGCGCUCUAGACUGAUUGGCUCGAGUGAGAUAGGGGUGUGCGGAACUUCCAGUGGAGCGGUGAAAUGUGUUGAUAUUGGAAGGAACGCCGGUGGCGAAAGCGGCACACUGGGUCUUAACUGACGCUGAGGCACGAAAGCCAGGGGAGCGAACGGGG